rnacentral:rRNA from 1 species
AUGACUCUCGGCAACGGAUAUCUCGGCUCUCGCAUCGAUGAAGAACGUAGCGAAAUGCGAUACUUGGUGUGAAUUGCAGAAUCCCGUGAACCAUCGAAUUUUUGAACGCAAGUUGCGCCCGAAGCCGUUAGGCUAAGGGCACGUUUGCCUGGGCGUCGUA